AUUCCAGCUCCAAUAGCGUAUAUUAAAGUUGUUGCAGUUAAAAAGCUCGUAGUUGGAUUUCUGGUUUGAUGCCCUGGCCCGCUUCAAAUUUUGGAGUGUGUGCCGGCUGUGCGUCUGCCAUCCUUCUAGAAAACGUUCGUACCCUUCACUGGGCCGCGUUCGAGAUCUAGAUCUUUUACUUUGAAAAAAUUAGAGUGUUUAAAGCAGGCAGUUGCUAUGAAUACAUUAGCAUGGAAUAAUAAUCUAGGACUUCGGUUCUAUUUUGUUGGUUUCUAGUACUGAAGUAAUGAUUGAUAGGGAUAGUUGGGGGCAUUAGUAUUUAUUAGCUAGAGGUGGAAUUCUCUAAUUUGAUAAAGACUAACUUAUGCGAAAGCAUUUGCCAAGGAUGUUUUCAUUG
rnacentral:rRNA from 1 species